rnacentral:lncRNA from 1 species
AUUUUUUGUAGAGACCGGGUUUCACCGUGUUAGCCGGGAUGGUCUCGAUCUCCUGACCUUGUGAUCCGCCCGCCUCGGUCUUUAUUACAAGGCCCAGGGGGUGUCUGUCAGUGGGACGACCUUGUUUCCCCUCCACGUCUCCUCUCAUACUUCAAAUUACUUCUCCUAUGCAUUUGGAGAGCGGGAGAGAAAAACACCAGGAAGGAAGAGGGAACAAAGAAACUCUACAGGCAGAGACACAGGACUGAGCCGCGUUGGGGGCACUGGGAGGAGUGAGCCUUGGGGUUGCACCCUCGGAGCCCCACUGUCCUGGGAGCAGCCUUCAGAACCACCCUUUUGUUCUCUGAAGUACCAGGCGUUCAGCUUUUCCAAGGACUGGCAGCUGCACAUCUUUGUCCCUGCCCCUUCCAUCUCUAGGCUCAGCCCCGCUGGGCAGCCUGGCCCACUCCCCACCCCUGCCCAGGGCCAACCCCUACUUCCCAUGCCCCCUCUGCCCACCUGCAGCACACUGGAGCCUUGGAGGCCCUCUCUGCAUCAUUCAAGAUGCAGACUCCUACACUUUGACCUGCACACAUCCUCCUGAAGCUUCCACUUCCUGGCCCCUGCCUGGCUUCUCACCUCCCCCACCUCCGCCCCCCAGGGGAUGUGCCGCCUCUCCCAGUGGCCCAGGACAUCCUCCACUUCCCGGGAACCCCAGGCACUUCCACAUCCUCAGACACAGUGAGAAGAUGACCCUCUCUCCAAGCCAGGAAGAGACCUCCCGAGGAGCCCAGCCAGCCAGCACGCUGACCUCCAACGUCCAGCCUCUGGAAAUGGGAUACCGAAGGCUGCGCUCCUGCCCCGCACCAGGAUGUGGGAACUUUGAGAACCGCUGGAGAGUCGAGAGAUGUCAUCGAAACGACACCCG